rnacentral:rRNA from 1 species
UACGUAGGGGGCAAGCGUUAUCCGGAUUUACUGGGUGUAAAGGGAGCGUAGACGGUAAUGCAAGUCUGGAGUGAAAUGCAGGGGCUCAACCCCUGAACUGCUUUGGAAACUGUAUGACUGGAGUGCAGGAGAGGUAAGUGGAAUUCCUAGUGUAGCGGUGAAAUGCGUAGAUAUUAGGAGGAACACCAGUGGCGAAGGCGGCUUACUGGACUGUAACUGACGUUGAGGCUCGAAAGCGUG